GAUGAACGCUAGCGGCAGGCCUAAUACAUGCAAGUCGAACGGCGUCUUCGGACAUAGUGGCGCACGGGUGCGUAACACGUAUGCAACCUACCUUACAUUGGGGGAUAGCCUUUCGAAAGGGAGAUUAAUACCGCAUAAGACAGUAGCUGGGCAUCCAGCAGCUGUUAAAGAUUUAUCGAUGUAAGCUGGGCAUGCGUCCAAUUAGCUAGUUGGUGAGGUAACGGCUCACCAAGGCAAUGAUUGGUAGGGGAACUGAGAGGUCAAUCCCCCACACGGGGACUGAGAUACGGGCCAGACUCCUACGGGAGGCAGCAGUAGGGAAUAUUGGGCAAUGGACGCAAGUCUGACCCAGCCAUGCCGCGUGCAGGAUGAAGGCGUUAUGCGUUGUAAACUGCUUUUAUACAGGAAGAAACGACUCUUGCGAGAGGCAUUGACGGUACUGUAUGAAUAAGCACCGGCUAACUCCGUGCCAGCCGCCGCGGUAAAAC
rnacentral:rRNA from 1 species